rnacentral:rRNA from 1 species
GACGAACGCUGGCGGCGUGCUUAACACAUGCAAGUCGAACGGAGUGGCGAACGGGUGAGUAACACGUGGGUGACCUGCCCUGCACUUCGGGAUAAGCCGGGGAAACUGGGUCUAAUACCGGAUAGUGUGGGAUGGGCCCGCGGCAAAUCAGAUUGUUGGUGGGGUAAUGGCCUACCAAGGCGGCGACGGGUAGCCGGCCUGAGAAGGUGGACGGCCACAAUGGGACUGAGACACGGCGCAGACUCCUACGGGAGGCAGCAGUGGAGAAUAUUGCGCAAUGGGCGGAAGCGUGAGACAGCGGCUCCGCGUGGGGGAUGACGGCCUGCGGGUUGUAAACUCCUUUCACCAUCGACGCGGUAGAUGCAUAAGAAGCACCGGCUAACUACGUGCCAGCAGCCGCGGUAAUAC